AUAGCCCUGCCCACAACCUGCUGAUUUCCAUGUGCCAAGAGCACAGCCCACUACCCUGAACACUUCUUCAUAGGCUGCUCACACUAUGCAGCAGUCAGUCCCAGUCAGCACAAAGCAUGGACAUGAGGACCCCUGCUCAGCUCCUGGGGCUCCUGCUGCUCUGCUUCCCAGGUACCAGAUGUGACAUCCAGAUGACCCAGACUCCAUCCUCCCUGUCUACAUCUCCAGGAGACACAGUCACCAUCAAUUGCAGGGCCAGUCAGGGCAUUAACAGUUGGUUAGCCUGGUAUCAGCAGAAACCAGGGAAAGCUCCCAAACUCCUGAUUUACAAAGCAUCUAAUUUAGAAUCAGGAGUCCCAUCCAGGUUCAGUGGCAGUGGAUCUGGGACAGAUUACUCUCUCACCAUCAGCAGCCUUCAGCCUGAAGAUUUUGCUACAUAUUUCUGUAUGCAGCAUAACAGCUAUCCUAACACAGUGAUACAAGUCAUAGCAAAAACCUCCAAGGGAAGCAGAAGUAAGACACUGGGCUGCCCCAGCUGCUGCCCCUGUAGCCUCCACCUGCUGACAGUGCUUUUCAGAUGCAUUUCUGAGGGUCACAGGAAGAUUUGGUAAAAGUGGCUGGGCAGAAUUCUCUCUAUUCUAGCUCUCUGUUUGCAGCAGCACAAACAUGCUAAUGCUUCUCCUGAUUCAAUAGAGUACAGAAAUGAUCAAGCAUGAGGAGUCUGUGAGAGCAUUAAUUGGGGUUCAUUUGUAAAGUAGAAAGAAGCCAGCUAAUCCAAGUUGAUUAUAUUUAAUACAAGAAAUGUAUUCUUAGCUACUGCCAUUCAAGGAUUGGGUUA